GGCGUUCACAUCAGACGCAAUUCCGACACGGCGGCAGUCGUACGUUCCGCGAUCACACGCACACACCGCGACAUUUUUACCUUUUACACACUGAACACACCACCUUAACCACCACCAUCACUACCACCUCCACCACCUCAGUCACCACACGUACCCAAACCCUUACAGACACACCACACACCGUUCCAAGUCCCUUUUUGUUUUUUUUUACGAUUGUUAUCAUUUUCGCGUAUUUUACACCGAUUAAUAAAAAAAUAAUUUAAACAUCGAUCGAUUGUCAAUCUGAUACUCAAUCUCCAUUUUUCUCUUUGACCGUCGCGUGUGUGUACACCCACCCCACAAAGAAUAUAAUUUAACAUAAAUCGAAAUACCGCCGAAACGACUGUGUACGAUCGACCGUCUCCACCGACCCUGCAGUAGUGACCUGCCGUCGCCACUGAGUCUACUAACUAUCGUCUUCUUCUUAUUCGUCGUCUGGAACCGAAAGCACGAUACCACCGAUCAGCUGCUACAGGAAACCGUGCCGGUCCACGGUAGUGACCACAUGUUGGCGCUGGUAGUGGUCGUCAAGCAGCAUUACACCCACCCGGUUGAAUCGUGGAGGCCGUCGCCGUUGGAGGGUUGAAGAGGGCCCGAGGUGGUGCGUACAACGGACCGGAGGCCGCCGCCGCCACCCUCAAGAAGCUCAGACUGGACGCCGCCACAGCCGCCGCAGCCGCAGCCGCAGCCGCAGCGAUGAACAUGUCGCCAACAGGUCACACGCCACCGCUGCAAGUCCAACAACAGCAGGGACCUGGCAGCGUAUCGGUUGACGGCCAGCAGUCCGUCGUUUCUGGAAUGUGCAACAGCAUCGAUUCCGUCGGGCCCGGCGAGGAGGAGGUGAGAACAUUAUUCGUCAGUGGUCUACCAAUGGACGCCAAGCCACGUGAACUGUACUUGCUGUUUCGAGCAUAUGAGGGUUACGAAGGAUCUCUUUUAAAAGUUACAAGCAAAAAUGGCAAAACAGCUUCGCCAGUGGGUUUUGUUACGUUCCAGACACGCGCUGGCGCCGAGGCCGCCAAACAAGACCUUCAGCAGGGCGUCCGGUUCGAUCCCGACAUGCCGCAAACCAUACGGCUAGAAUUCGCUAAAAGCAACACGAAGGUUAGCAAGCCAAAACAGCCCGCCAACGCAAACGUCACGCCCAACACGCACCAAGGCCUGAUGCACCCGCUCACCGGACAUCUAGGCGCCCCAUUCUUCACCGGUGCUCCGGCAGAGUUAUGGCAUCAUCCGUUGGCGUAUGCUGAUAUGCCGACCGCAGCCACGGCCACGGCUUUACAACACGCAGCUCUUGUCCAUCCGGGACUACAUCCACAUCCUCAACAGCCGACGUUGACGCUGGGCCCACACGGCCUUCCGUUCCUGCCCUCCCCCGCACUGCCCUCGCCGCCCAACCAGCAGCAGCCCCAGCCGCCCUGUUCCACGCUGUUCGUCGCCAACCUCGGGCAGUUCGUGUCCGACCACGAGCUUAAAGACAUUUUCGCCAGAACGAGUUACAGUCAGUCAAAGCAGACGUUUAAUUAUUGGCCGACAGCCUAUAAAUGAAGACAUUGAUAAACGUAUUUCUCUAUACCCAUGUACAUAAGAAAACAUUAUAAGGGAGUAUGCUGGCCAAAAGAAAUUGGACAACGUCAAUUUCACGUAUACUCACAUGCAGUUGAACAACACCUGACAACUACAAGAUAGACCACGAGUACCUGCCCAAGUCUAGAUAACGCGCGACACGACAAAAACAACCUACCAAAGCCCUAUAAUUGAAAAAAAUUAAUUUAAGUCAAUUUAAAUUUGAAAAAAAAUUAUUAUUGAAUAAUUAUUACUAGCUUAAAGCUUCUUAAGCUGUUGUACAAAGCAGUAACAACUUCCUUGUUCGCCUGUAGUGUUUAUAAAACAUAUUCAUCAUAUUUAUAUUAUAUAAUAUAUAGUGUACCUACCUAAUUCCUAACUUUAUUCCCUAAGCUUUUAAACUAAUACCUAAAUAAUCAUCCUAUGCUUGUUUAGUGGGUAGUGUAAGAUCUUAAGACUCAUCAAAUCUGUGAUUGUUUCUCAUGUAUUUUUUUUUUAUCCUAAAAAAAUUGCCUAUUUUCGUAUAGGCGUGGUUCAGAUGUUAGCAAUAAUAAUUACUAAUGACAUACAAAAAAAAAGUAAAUAAAUAAAUAAAAAUGUAAGCGCGCUCAUAUACAUUCACUAAAUACAUAUCAAAUGCUUUGAAAGGGAAUUAACGUUAAACAUUGUAAAUAAUUUUAUAAAAGACUAAGUCUGUUGGGAUGGUCAGACGUUAACGGACUGCGUGAGGUCGAUCAAAGCGGAUCGCGCGGUCCGUAUGGCCUCAGCUGGCCCGCGGCGACGUCCAAACCGAAAACGGUUUAGUCAAAAAAAAAAUAUAUAUAUAUAUAAAACAAAUUAUUAUAUAUAAUUAUUAUUAUUAUUAUUAUAAUACAAAAUGAUUGAAUUCUGCAAACUAUUUUUUAUACAAUUUAGUCUUUUAUUUCUUGCCAUUAUAUACGAGUAGAUUUUGUUUCAAACAAAUUUACAGGGUGCAGCUUGUUUAGCAGCUCAUGGAAGUUUUUUUAGUUAGGUACGAAGAUUAUUUUCGUUGUUGCGUAUUCUCGUCUUUAUUUCGAAAAAAAAAUUAGGAUAUUUCUGGGAACACGUAAGCAAAUUAUUAUAUUAACAAUAAUCGCGUACAUAAUAAUAUUUGAUAAUUAAUUUAAAAUGACAAUCUUUUUUUUAAGUUUUUAAUUUUUUAAGAGACAAUAAUUUUUCAAUGUUUUUGUUCUCGAAAAAAUUUUUUUUUAUGUAAUAUUAAUAAUAUACAACUGAAAAAGACCAAAGAUUACGUUCUAUUAUAGUUUAUUGUCAUUUUAUUUUAGACAACUACCAAUGAAUAAUAUUGAAAAAAAAAAUAUUCUUUUUUCCUGCGUUUCAGUGUACAUAAUAAUAUGGAAUAAUAUGUAUGUUUUCAGUGUAUUAUAUUGAAAUUAUGAUGAUUAUUAUUAUUAUUAUUAUUAUUAUUAUUAUUAUAAUUUUUAAGCAGUUAGACGUAUAAUUAAUGAAUUAAAUAAUUAUAGUUAUUAAUUUAUAUAUAUAUAAAAAAAUAAUAAUAAUAAUAAUACCAUUUGAAAUACUUAAAAUUAUAAGUAUUUUGUUUUACUUUUUUAUUUUAAGUCUGUGAUCGCUUGCCGUGGUAAUUAUUUCAGAUCUGUUAAACGUAAGACGAACAGUGUUCACAGGCUAGCAAAAGACGUUGAUGUAUUAUUAUUUUUGUUGUAAAAGAAAAUUUACUGAUACAUUCCAAUGAGGACUAUUAUUGAAUAAAUAACGCAUUCCAAAAACAAACGAUUAAUUAUUAUUUGAAGAGUAAUGUAAUUUAUUUUACUAUUUAUUAUGUUUUACCGACGUCUUUUGCGAAAAAAAAUUAUAAUAUCCGUCCAAAUUAUAAAAUUCUUUUUUUUUCUAAUUAUUUCGUUAUUAAUAAUAUUAAUUAUUAUUAUUAGGUAUCAUCAUUAUUAUUAUUAAUUAUUAGAAUUUAAUUACUAUCAUUACGAUCAUUGCGGAUUUCGUAGAUUUAAUCGAAGAUAAAAAUUACAUUUUAAGCUCAAACAGAUUUUCUUUUGUUUAAAUUUUUUUUAAUUUGAUAAAAUAAAAUAGCCUUUCUUAAUUGCAACACAUACAUAUCAUUAUAUACAUUUUAACGCUGUAUAGCCUGUGUAUUUUUUUUAAUGUGAUCAACAGUAGCCUUAUAAUCUUAUUUAUAUUAUAUAUUAACCGUUAUAGUGGAUAUAUAAAUGUUAAAUGAAAGAAAAUGAUAAACAAAUUAAUAAUUAAUGUACUUGAAGUAAACAUACGUUUGCAGUAUGUGAAUAAUUUUUUUGUGAUUUUGGUCACCUUAUCCAGGUGAAUACGAUACCAAAAUGUAUAAUCGAAACAUAUCAAUAACUGUGCCCCCCAUAAAAAAUUGAUUAAAUUAUAAUAUAUUAAAUUAAAUGUUGUUAAAUAAAUAACGAGAUAAUAAUAAAUUACGAUUAUGUUUGUAUUAAUUGUAACGAGAAAAAGAAAAGAAUUCAUAAGGAAAAAUAAAUUGUACAUUUUUAUCGAUUUUUCAUAAGUUUGUUUAGAUACUUGUGUAGUGAAAUUUAGUUGUUACUGUGCGUAAUUUUGAAUAAUAUAAACGUUUGUUAAACGGAAUUUUUAUUGUUACUUUUACCGAACAUUGUAAUAUGUUUUAGCUUGCGUUAGUUAUGGUGUUUAUAUAAAAAUAGGUAUUUAAUUACAUUGUAGUGGUAUUAUUAAAACAAUUAUUAUUAUUAUUAUUAUUAUUAUUAUUAUUAUAUAGACGAUAUUAUUUAAACAUGUGAAAAAAACCUAAAAAAUAGGAAUUGUAUUUACAAUACGAUGCAUACGAAAAAAAAAUAAAAAAUAAAAGUAGUGAAUUGAUUGGGAA